rnacentral:rRNA from 1 species
GUGGGGAAUCUUAGACAAUGGGGGAAACCCUGAUCUAGCCAUGCCGCGUGAUCGAUGAAGGCCUUAGGGUUGUAAAGAUCUUUCAGGUGGGAAGAUAAUGACUGUACCACCAGAAGAAGCCCCGGCUAACUCCGUGCCAGCAGCCGCGGUAAUACGGAGGGGGCUAGCGUUGUUCGGAAUUACUGGGCGUAAAGCGCACGUAGGCGGAUUGGAAAGUUGGGGGUGAAAUCCCGGGGCUCAACCCCGGAACUGCCUUCAAAACUCCCAGUCUUGAGUUCGAGAGAGGUGAGUGGAAUUCCGAGUGUAGAGGUGAAAUUCGUAGAUAUUCGGAGGAACACCAGUGGCGAAGGCGGCUCACUGGCUCGAUACUGACGCUGAGGUGCGAAAGCGUGGGGAGCAAACAGGAUUAGAUACCCCAUAGUCC